ACCUGACUGCUAUCGGAUUGGUACUAAGCCAUGCGAGUCAUUGUAGCAAUACAAGGCGGACGGCUCAGUAACACGUAGUCAACCUAACUCGUGGACGUGGAUAACCUCGGGAAACUGAGAAUAAACCACGAUAGAUCAUAGUGCCUGGAAUGGCUUAUGGUCCAAACAGUUUACUGCCAUGGGAUGGGACUGCGGCCUAUCAGCUUGUUGGUGAGGUAAUGGCCCACCAAGGCGAUUACAGGUACGGGCUCUGAGAGGAGAAGCCCGGAGAUGGGUACUGAGACACGGACCCAGGCCCUAUGGGGCGCAGCAGGCGAGAAACCUUAGCAAUGUGCGAAAGCACGACUGGGUCAGUCCGAGUGAUUCCUGAUAAAGGAGUCUUUUGCCUGUCCUAAAAGCACAGGUGAAUAAGGGGUGGGCAAGUCUGGUGUCAGCCGCCGCGGUAAUACCAGCACCUCGAGUGGUCAGGACGUUUAUUGGGCCUAAAGCAUCCGUAGCCGGCUCUGCAAGUCUUCGGUUAAAUCCACCUGCUCAACAGAUGGGCCGCUGGAGAUACUACAGAGCUAGGGAGUGGGAGAGGCAGACGGUAUUCAGUGGGUAGGGGUAAAAUCCUCUGAUCCAUUGAGGACCACCAGUGGCGAAGGCGGUCUGCCAGAACACGUUCGACGGUGAGGGAUGAAAGCUGGGGGAGCAAACCGGAUUAGAUACCCGGGUAGUCCCAGCUGUAAACGAUGCAAACUCGGUGAUGCAUUGGCUUAUGGCCAAUGCAGUGCCGCAGGAAGCCGUUAAGUUUGCCGCCUGGGAAGUACGGACGCAAGUCUGAA
rnacentral:rRNA from 1 species